rnacentral:miRNA from 1 species
UGAGGUAGUAGGUUGUAUUGUU